GCGAACAUACCGCUAUUGAAGAAAAGAAAAUAUACCGGUUCUCGUUAGAUCACCGAAGUUAAGCAUCAUUGGGCGCGGUCAGUACUUGGGUGGGUGACCACCUGGGAACACUGCGUGCCGUUG